GAGACGCCUGCGCAGAAGGCGUGACCCGAGUUCAAGAAGUGGCUAGGAACCCGUAAGUGCCGAGUAACUCCACUGGUUUGGCGAAGCUCAGGGCUCGUGGACAGUAGUCAUAUUUUUAGGAAAAGGUUACCUAGCUCUAAGUGCUCUUAUCAAGGCCUGCAAGGUCCUCAGCCCUGUUGCUGCCUGCUGCAGUCUGCCAGUAGGGCCCAGGUACGCCAAGGGGAACCAACUCCCUGCCUUCAGUCCAGUACAUCCCUCGCCUUCUGUCUGACACGAUACAAGUUUUACUUUGUCCUGGCUCCU